GUAAAGCUCUGGAGCUUGACUUGUAGAGGUGGAAGAGGAUGAUGAUUGCCCAAUAAUUCCAGUGAGAUCCUCUAGGGGACUAAAGCCAUAGACAUGGCCAUGAGUUGGGACACCAGUUGCCUCAAACCACAAGUCAUAAUCACGUGGUGGAGCAUCUGAGGUGGAGGCAUCACCAUAUUUUUUGGAGUAUUCAAUUGAAUACUUUAUCUACCAGUUAAUUUGAAAGAAGAGAAAAACAUUAUGGUGGAUCAAACAAGAGAUAAACAUGAGCAAGCUCAAUAAUAUUUGUGAAUCAUAAAAAAAUUA
rnacentral:lncRNA from 1 species